UACGGGGGGGGCAAGCGUUGUUCGGAAUUACUGGGCGUAAAGGGCUCGUAGGCGGUUUGUCGCGUCUGCUGUGAAAACUCGGGGCUUAACUCCGGGCCUGCAGUGGGUACGGGCAGACUAGAGUGCGGUAGGGGAGACUGGAAUUCCUGGUGUAGCGGUGAAAUGCGCAGAUAUCAGGAGGAACACCGGUGGCGAAGGCGGGUCUCUGGGCAGUAACUGACGCUGAGACGCGAAAGCGUGGGAGCAACAGG
rnacentral:rRNA from 1 species